rnacentral:rRNA from 1 species
AAGGUUAGCUAAUCCUGGUCGGACAUCAGGAGGUUAGUGCAAUGGCAUAAGCUAGCUUGACUGCGAGCGUGACGGCGCGAGCAGGUGCGAAAGCAGGUCAUAGUGAUCCGGUGGUUCUGAAUGGAAGGGCCAUCGCUCAACGGAUAAAAGGUACUCCGGGGAUAACAGGCUGAUACCGCCCAAGAGUUCAUAUCGACGGCGGUGUUUGGCACCUCGAUGUCGGCUCAUCACAUCCUGGGGCUGAAGUAGGUCCCAAGGGUAUGGCUGUUCGCCAUUUAAAGUGGUACGCGAGCUGGGUUUAGAACGUCGUGAGACAGUUCGGUCCCUAUCUGCCGUGGGCGCUGGAGAAUUGAGGGGGGCUGCUCCUAGUACGAGAGGACCGGAGUGGACGCAUCACUGGUGUUCGGGUUGUCAUGCCAAUGGCACUGCCCGGUAGCUAAAUGCGGAAGAGAUAAGUGCUGAAAGCAUCUAAGCACGAAACUUGCCCCGAGAUGA